UCACCUGGUUAACUCCCGUGCCAAACAGCCGCGGUAAUUACGGAAGGGUGCAAGCGUUAAUCGAAAUUUACUGGGCGUAAAGCGCACGCAGGCGGUCUGUCAAGUCGGAUGUGGAAAUCCCCGGGCUCAACCUGGGAACUGCAUUCGAAACUGGCAGGCUAGAGUCUUGUAGAGGGGGGUAGAAUUCCAGGUGUAGCGGUGAAAUGCGUAGAGAUCUGGAGGAAUACCGGUGGCGAAGGCGGCCCCCUGGACAAAGACUGACGCUCAGGUGCGAAAGCGUGGGGAGCAAACAGGAUUAGAUACCCUGGUAGUCCACGCCGUAAACGAUGUCGAUUUGGAGGUUGUGCCCUUGAGGCGUGGCUUCCGGAGCUAACGCGUUAAAUCGACCGCCUGGGGAGUACGGCCGCAAGGUUAAAACUCAAAUGAAUUGACGGGGGCCCGCACAAGCGGUGGAGCAUGUGGUUUAAUUCGAUGCAACGCGAAGAACCUUACCUGGUCUUGACAUCCACAGAACUUUCCAGAGAUGGAUUGGUGCCUUCGGGAACUGUGAGACAGGUGCUGCAUGGCUGUCGUCAGCUCGUGUUGUGAAAUGUUGGGUUAAGUCCCGCAACGAGCGCAACCCUUAUCCUUUGUUGCCAGCGGUUCGGCCGGGAACUCAAAGGAGACUGCCAGUGAUAAACUGGAGGAAGGUGGGGAUGACGUCAAGUCAUCAUGGCCCUUACGACCAGGGCUACACACGUGCUACAAUGGCAUAUACAAAGAGAAGCGACCUCGCGAGAGCAAGCGGACCUCAUAAAGUAUGUCGUAGUCCGGAUUGGAGUCUGCAACUCGACUCCAUGAAGUCGGAAUCGCUAGUAAUCGUAGAUCAGAAUGCUACGGUGAAUACGUUCCCGGGCCUUGUACACACCGCCCGUCACACCAUGGGAGUGGGUUGCAAAAGAAGUAGGUAGCUUAACCUUCGGGAGGGCGCUACCACUUGAUCUGCAAGCCG
rnacentral:rRNA from 1 species